AAUAAAGGUAAUUUAGAGCGUAAAGUUAACUGAAAUGGCGACAAGAAGAGCGGAGUAAACUACAUCCGUGAUGUGAUUUGGUCGCGAUCAGCGAUGGAGAAACUGGUGUCGGUCUAGCUUACUAAGUUGAACACGCUUGUUGAUCACAGAUUUCGACAGAAAUUCAAAGGAUUUGAGAGAAUUGAUGGUGGAUAUGAUGGGUCAAGUUAACGUUAAGCUCUUAGUCAGGUUUUUGGAAAGAAACAACGGUAUGUUCAUCGUUAGGACUCGCGGUAAACGUAGCCAUGCAGGAGACGAUUCAAGACAGUAGGACAGAUUUAGACAAAGUGCGGGAUUUUAUUGAAGACUCGCACCGGUACCCUGACCUGAACAUAUAAAUUUUUCAAGCCUCGAAACCAGCCUCGCUUAUGAUCAUGCCGAGUCAUAGCCGUGAUGGAAGUUGCCAGGAAACAAAAGGUUAAGUAAUCAUCAUAAAGUAAAUAGGCUUAUAACUCUGUCUACAUGUCUUCGCUUCCAAUAUCAUAGAACUUUAUAAAAUCGCCAUGCAGAAGUUGAAGACGAUAUUUAAAACUGUAUAAAAUGAAACAACAGCUAGAAUGAUAUGUUUAAUGUUUCUCUUUUAUAAAUUGAUGAAAUUCUUGUUUGUUUACAAAAUAAAAUCUGUAUAAAUA